AAUAGAUGAUGCCUUUGACUUUUUCUCACAUAUUUGACCAUUCGCCUUAUUUAAAAAAUUUACGUAAUUAUAAUUUAUUUUGUUAUGAGUUGUUUUAUCACUCGUAGUACUUUAAGUGUGAUUUAUAUCUUAUAGAUUUGCAUAAAAUUUUUAAAUGAGACGAAUGGUCAAACAUGUGAGAAAAAGUCAACGGUGUCAUCUAUU
rnacentral:pre_miRNA from 1 species